rnacentral:rRNA from 1 species
CAGUAGCCGCGGGAAUACGGAGGGUGCAAGCGUUAAUCGGAAUUACUGGGCGUAAAGCGCACGCAGGCGGUUUGUUAAGUCAGAUGUGAAAUCCCCGAGCUUAACUUGGGAACUGCAUUUGAAACUGGCAAGCUAGAGUCUUGUAGAGGGGGGUAGAAUUCCAGGUGUAGCGGUGAAAUGCGUAGAGAUCUGGAGGAAUACCGGUGGCGAAGGCGGCCCCCUGGACAAAGACUGACGCUCAGGUGUGAAAGCGUGGGGAGCAAACAGGAUUAGAGACCCCUGUAGUCCCUGUCUCUUAUAC